rnacentral:rRNA from 1 species
CAUGCAAGUCGAACGGAUUAUUCUUGUAGCUUGCUAUGAGAAUAAUUAGUGGCAGACGGGUGAGUAAUGCAUAGGAAUCUACCUAGUAGUAUAGGAUAGCCACUAGAAAUGGUGGGUAAUACUGUAUAAUCCCUGCGGGGGAAAGAUUUAUCGCUACAUGAUGAGCCUAUGUUAGAUUAGCUAGUUGGUGGGGUAAUGGCCUACCAAGGCAGUGAUCUAUAGCUGGUCUGAGAGGAUGAUCAGCCACACUGGAACUGAGACACGGUCCAGACUCCUACGGGAGGCAGCAGUGGGGAAUAUUGGACAAUGGGCGCAAGCCUGAUCCGGCUAUGCCGCGUGAGUGAGGAAGGCCUUAGGGUUGUAAAACUCUUUCAGUGGGGA